rnacentral:rRNA from 1 species
UACGAAGGGGGCUAGCGUUGCUCGGAAUCACUGGGCGUAAAGGGUGCGUAGGCGGGUCUUUAAGUCAGGGGUGAAAUCCUGGAGCUCAACUCCAGAACUGCCUUUGAUACUGAGGAUCUUGAGUCCGGGAGAGGUGAGUGGAACUGCGAGUGUAGAGGUGAAAUUCGUAGAUAUUCGCAAGAACACCAGUGGCGAAGGCGGCUCACUGGCCCGGUACUGACGCUGAGGCGCGAAAGCUAGGGGAGCAAACAGG